UACGUAGGGUGCGAGCGUUGUCCGGAAUUAUUGGGCGUAAAGGGCUCGUAGGCGGUCUGUCACGUCGGGAGUGAAAACUCAGGGCUUAACCCUGAGCCUGCUUCCGAUACGGGCUGACUAGAGGUAUGCAGGGGAGAACGGAAUUCCUGGUGUAGCGGUGAAAUGCGCAGAUAUCAGGAGGAACACCAAUGGCGAAGGCAGAUCUCUGGGCCGUAACUGACGCUGAGGAGCGAAAGCAUGGGGAGCGAACAGG
rnacentral:rRNA from 1 species